CAGUCGCCACGGGAAUACGGAGGGUGCAAGCGUUACUCGGAAUCACUGGGCGUAAAGCGUGCGCAGGCGGUCCGCUAAGACAGAUGUGAAAUCCCCGGGCUUAACCUGGGAACUGCAUUUGUGACUGGCGGGCUAGAGUAUGGCGGAGGGGGGUAGAAUUCCACGUGUAGCAGUGAAAUGCGUAGAGAUGCGGAGGAAUACCGAUGGCGAAGGCAGCCCCCUGGGCCAAUACUGACGCUCAUGCACGAAAGCGUGGGGAGCAAACAGGAUUAGAUACCCCCGUAGUCCCUGUCUCUUAUAC
rnacentral:rRNA from 1 species